rnacentral:rRNA from 1 species
GACGGAGGGGGCUAGCGUUGUUCGGAAUUACUGGGCGUAAAGCGUGCGCAGGCGGUCUUGCAAGACAGAUGUGAAAUCCCCGGGCUCAACCUGGGAACUGCAUUUGUGACUGCAAGGCUGGAGUACGGUAGAGGGGGAUGGAAUUCCGCGUGUAGCAGUGAAAUGCGUAGAGAUGUGGAGGAAUACCGAUGGCGAAGGCAGCCCCCUGGGAUAACACUGACGCUCAUGCACGAAAGCGUGGGGAGCAAACAGG